rnacentral:rRNA from 1 species
CCUACGGGAGGCAGCAGUGAGGAAUGUUGGUCAAUGGGCGGAAGCCUGAACCAGCCAAGUAGCGUGCAGGAUGACGGCCCUACGGGUUGUAAACUGCUUUUAUACGGGAAUAACGCGCCUUACGUGUAGGGCUUUGCAUGUACCGUAUGAAUAAGGACCGGCUAAUUCCGUGCCAGCAGCCGCGGUAAUACGGAAGGUCCGGGCGUUAUCCGGAUUUAUUGGGUGUAAAGGGAGCGUAGGCCGCAUGUCAAGCGUGCUGUGAAAUGUCCGGGCUCAACCCGGGCCUUGCAGCGCGAACUGGGGUGCUUGAGUCCGCGGAAAGCAGGCGGAAUUCGUCGUGUAGCGGUGAAAUGCUUAGAUAUGACGAAGAACCCCGAUUGCGAAGGCAGCUUGCUGCAGCGGAACUGACGCUGAUGCUCGAAAGCGCGGGUAUCGAACAGGAUUAGAUACCCGGGUAGUC